AUUGAACGCUGGCGGCAUGCCUCACACAUGCAAGUCGAACGAGUGGCGGACGGGUGAGUCAUGUCUGGGAACCUGCCCGAUGGAGGGGGAUAACUACUGGAACGGGUUGCUAAUACCGCCUACCAUUAUAGCUGCCCAUAUGGGCUGAGCUUGUUGGUGGGGUAACGGCGCACCAAGUCGACGAUCCCUAGCUGGUCUGAGAGGAUGACCGGCCACACGAGAACUGAGACACGGUCCAGACUCCUACGGGAGGCAGCAGUGGGGAAUAUUGCACAAUGGGCGAAAGCCUGAUGCAGCCAUGCCGCGUGUAUGAAGAAGGCCUUCGGGUUGUAAAGUACUGUCAGCGGGGAGGCGUUACCCGCAGAAGAAGCACCGGCUAACUCCGUGCCAGCAGCCGCGGUAAUUC
rnacentral:rRNA from 1 species